AAAGGAAUAGACGGGGGCCCGCACAAGCGGUGGAGCAUGUGGUUUAAUUCGAUGCAACGCGAAGAACCUUACCUACUCUUGACAUCCAGAGAAUUCUGCAGAGAUGCGGAAGUGCCUUCGGGAACUCUGAGACAGGUGCUGCAUGGCUGUCGUCAGCUCGUGUUGUGAGAUGUUGGGUUAAGUCCCGUAACGAGCGCAACCCUUAUCCUUGUUUGCCAUCAGGUAAUGCUGGGCACUGUAAGGAGACUGCCGGUGACAAACCGGAGGAAGGUGGGGACGACGUCAAGUCAUCAUGGCCCUUAUGAGUAGGGCUACACACGUGCUACAAUGGUUGGGUACAGAGGGGAGCGAAGCAGUGAUGCGGAGCGAAUCUCAGAAAACCCAUCGUAGUCCGGAUUGCAGUCUGCAACUCGACUGCAUGAAGCUGGAAUCGCUAGUAAUCGCGGAUCAGAAUGCCGCGGUGAAUACGUUCCCGGGCCUUGUACACACCGCCCGU
rnacentral:rRNA from 1 species